GCUUUUUAUCCACAAAGGGUCUGAAAUCUCUUCACCAUGCUCUGGGCUCCCCUCAUCGUCCUGCUGGGGACGUGGUGCACAGGUUCCAGCUCACAGCGUGUGCUGACUCAGCCACCCUCAGUGUCAGUGUCCCCAGGAAACACCGUGAAACUCUCCUGCACCAUGAGCAGUGGGACCAGCAUCAGUGGCUACUAUCUGUACUGGUACCAACAGAAACCUGGGAAUUCGCCACGAUACCUGCUGAAUUACAAAUCAGAUUCUGACAAAGGCCAGGGCUCUGGGGUCCCUGCUCGCUUCUCUGGUUCCAAAGACACGUCCAGUAACACCGGCUAUUUGACCAUCUCCGGGACCCUCACAGAUGAUGAAGCUGAUUAUUACUGUGCUCUGUGGCACAACAAUGCUUGUCACAGUGACACAGACUGA